rnacentral:lncRNA from 1 species
GUGAACGUUAGUAACCGUUGGAGACAAGACCGUUACACCACCCACUUUUUACCUUCCCCAUUUAUUCACCCAUUUACUCACAUUUACCCACAUUUAUUUAUUUUUCACCCACUCCCUUUCCAACUUCCAAAUUUUUUCCUAUAAAUACCCAACAUACCUUUCUUCAUACACCACAAACCAUUCUAUAAAAUACAUUUCAUUUUCU